GCCGGGGUCGACCCAAUCAACCUAUGGGUCGACUCAAUCCACACUUUGCUGCAUUCUCAAGGUUAGUUUCAUCCAAAUGAACAAGACCAUAUAUAUAUUUCCAAUUAAGCAAAUGUACUGAGAGCAAUGAACUUAUAAAUGAAGUAUCAAUUUUAACUCAUGCGGGGGAACUUUCAUGCUUAAAAGUGACCAUGAGGCAUGGCAAUUGUUUGAAAACCU
rnacentral:lncRNA from 1 species